rnacentral:rRNA from 1 species
GAUGAACGCUGGCGGCGUGCCUAAUACAUGCAAGUCGAGCGAACGGACGAGAAGCUUGCUUCUCUGAUGUUAGCGGCGGACGGGUGAGUAACACGUGGAUAACCUACCUAUAAGACUGGGAUAACUUCGGGAAACCGGAGCUAAUACCGGAUAAUAUGUUGAACCGCAUGGUUCAAAAGUGAAAGACGGUCUUGCUGUCACUAAUAGAUGGAUCCGCGCUGCAUUAGCUAGUUGGUAAGGUAACGGCUUACCAAGGCAACGAUGCAUAGCCGACCUGAGAGGGUGAUCGGCCACACUGGAACUGAGACACGGUCCAGACUCCUACGGGAGGCAGCAGUAGGGAAUCUUCCGCAAUGGGCGAAAGCCUGACGGAGCAACGCCGCGUGAGUGAUGAAGGUCUUCGGAUCGUAAAACUCUGUUAUUAGGGAAGAACAUAUGUGUAAGUAACUGUGCACAUCUUGACGGUACCUAAUCAGAAAGCCACGGCUAACUACGUG